GGGGGCAUGGCGGAGGGUCGUUGGUCUGGCGAUUGAGGCCGGGAUCAGCACGCCUGGGAUGUGUGCGAGCCUGUCAUAUUUUGAUACAUACAGGCGGGCACGACUGCCAGCGAACCUUGUGCAGGCGCAGCGGGAUCUGUUCGGGGCUCAUACAUAUGAGCGGAUCGACCGCCCAGGGGCUUUUCACACCGAGUGGACCAAGCUCGCGCGACAGAGCAAUGCAGCCAC
rnacentral:misc_RNA from 1 species